rnacentral:rRNA from 1 species
CGGAGGGUGCGAGCGUUAUCCGGAUUCACUGGGUUUAAAGGGAGCGUAGGUGGGUUGGUAAGUCAGUGGUGAAAUCUCCGAGCUUAACUUGGAAACUGCCAUUGAUACUAUCAGUCUUGAAUAUUGUGGAGGUCAGCGGAAUAUGUCAUGUAGCGGUGAAAUGCUUAGAUAUGACAUAGAACACCAAUUGCGAAGGCAGCUGGCUACGCAUAUAUUGACACUGAGGCUCGAAAGCGUGGGGAUCAAACAGGAUUAGAUACCCUGGUAGUCCACGCCCUAAACUAUGGAUACUCGACAUACGCGAUACACUGUGUGUGUCUGAGCGAAAGCAUUAAGUAUCCCACCUGGGAAGUACGAUCGCAAGAUUG